rnacentral:tRNA from 1 species
GACUACUGGGAGUGGGAAUAAAGCUCCAGCCCUUAGCCCUGAACUCCUUCAAUAUCGCACCUACUACCAAAGACUGAAC